AUAUAGAGACCAAAAACCCUAAAAACGGUCUCAGUUCGGAUUGAAGGCUGAAAUUCGCCUUCAUGAAGCUGGAAUUGCUAGUAAUGGCAGGUCAGCAUACUGCCGUGAAUACGUUCCCGGGCCUUGUACACACCGCCCGUCACACCAUGAGAGUUGGGAAUACCCGAAGCCCGUGAGCUAACCGAAAGGGAGCAGCGGUCGAAGGUAGAAUCAAUGAUUGGGGUGAAGUCGUAACAAGGUAAC
rnacentral:rRNA from 1 species